GGCAGCUGUGGCUCAGCAGUUAAAGCUCUGGGCUGCUGACUGGAAGGUUAUGAGUUCAAAUCUCAGCCUAGCUGCCA